AGACGUUCAAUAUUUGAAAAUAGAUACUUAUAAGAGGAAUUCUAAUGACAAUUCUGAUCACCAAGAAGCUUUUUUAGAAUCUCUUAGUACAACAGAAAAAAUAAUAAGCAAAAAAUUUAAGAGAGUUGUAACAGGCGGGAAAGGAUCUAAACCAAUUGCAAUUUUAUUCUCUAAUAAAAUUCAGAAAUUUAUACAGUGUUUAUUGGAAGUGAGAAAUAACACUGAUGUAGUACCAAAAUCCAAUCAUUACCUUUUUGCUAACCCAGGAUCAGAAAAUCGAUGGAUGAGUGGAACAAAUGUAAUAAGAAAAUUGGCACUAAACUGUGGUGCAACCAAGCCAACACUCUUAACAUCCACAAAGUUCAGGAAACACAUAGCAACAACUUUACAAUUGAUGAGCAUGGAAGAUUGUGAAAUGGAACAAAUUGCAACAUUUAUGGGCCACACAAAAAAAACUCACGCUGAAUUUUAUAGAUUACCGCAAGACUUAUUUCAAACAGCAAAAGUUGCAAAGAUUUUAUUACUAAUGGAAAAAGGAAGAGGAAAAGAAUUCAAGGGGAAAAGUUUGAAUGAAAUUGAAUUACAAAAAGACGUAUAUUACAGUUCUGAAUCGGAAAUUGAAGAUGAAGAAGAUGAAGCAACUCCAUUGUCAGAAACGGCUUUAAAACGUGCUACCGCAUCUACGUCAAUGCAAGAAGAUGAAAAUAACAUUUUCAAUACUCAAAAUGCUAUUGAAAAUAUAAAGAGAAAAAAAAGCGUAACGAAACGAAAUUCAGAUUUGAAUAAAGAAUUAGAUAUCAACAACAAAAAAACAAAAAGCGAAGCGAAUAAAAAAUCAGGACGCCUUCCGUGGACAGAAGCUCAGAAGAAAUUAGUUCUGAAUCACUUUAAAAAACAC